GGAAGCACUGCUUAGAAUACCACUGCAGAAUGUGCUUUCAAUAAGGUCCGAGAAAGCAAACAAGGGAGACAAGCUUCAUGAAGUGAAGGUCACAUAUGGGACGCCUAGUGCUCCUGAACUGAUGGUCUUCAGUCUCAAGCAGGCAAGAGAGCUGUGCCAUGUGAUUGCACUCAUUAUGGAGAACGCUGCCAACACUUCCAGUAGUCUUUCCGGCUCUGAGAUGGGAAUGCUGCCAUCAAGAGAGAGCACUAGAAGGAGUGCUAGACACACACCCGAGGAGCUCCCCUACAUGAAGCCCACACCAUCUCCUACUGCGCAUAACCUACCAGGUGCCCAGGAGUCAGCCAUGUUCUCGAUGUAUUAAAGAAUCACUUGCUGAAAUCGACCAGGAGUGUUUAAAAAGUAUUCAGACAGACCCGGGCUGCUCGUCUUCACUAACCUUGCAGUAGCACAGCUGCCUUCCUCCUCCUGUCACCGUUUGCUUCGUGCUGACCGUGCGAGUCGCAAUGAGCGGUGGGUGAGACCCCCAGAUGUUUAACUUGUUCAAUGACAGUGAGGCCCACCAAAGGCCUCGGGAUUCUCUGGACACACACGGGUCGUGUCGUUAACUUUUCAAACACUCCUGCUCUAUUCAGCUCUUUCUCCUUUGACUUAUUCAGUAAAGAUUCCUAAUGACCCUCAUUAUAAACUUUUAUCAUACAAAUAAGUAAACUGCUGAUACCGAA